ACUCAAAUGAAUUGACGGGAGCCCGCACAAGCGGUGGAUUAUGUGGUUUAAUUCGAAGCAACGCGCAGAACCUUACCUGGGUUUGACAUCCUUUGACAAUUGCAGAGAUGCAACUUUCGUAGCAAUACGACAAAGUGACAGGUGCUGCAUGGCUGUCGUCAGCUCGUGUGGUGGCAUGUCGGGUUAAGUCCCUCAACGAGCGCAACCCCUGUCUUUAGUUGCCAGCAUUAAGUUGGGCACUCUAGAGAGACUGCCGUGGUUAACACGGAGGAAGGCGGGGAUGACGUCAAGUCCUCAUGGCCCUUACACCCAGGGCGACACACGUAAUACAAUGGCUGGUACAGAGGGAAGCGAACUCGCGAGAGGGAGCAAAUCUCAAAAAGCCAGCCUCAGUUCGGAUUGGAGUCUGCAACUCGACUCCAUGAAGGCGGAAUCGCUAGUAAUCGCGGAUCAGCACGCCGCGGUGAAUACGUUCCCGGGCUUUGUACACACCGCCCGU
rnacentral:rRNA from 1 species